AUCUAUUUCGGGGGCUCGGCUGCGUGGCGCCCAGGACUCUCCAGGGUCUCCCAGGAUCGCUCCCCGAAUUCGAGUCGCCCCCUCUCUCUUUCGGGAAUACCAGCUGAUGUCAGUCCGCCAGCCAAAACCAGGGAGGAGAAGCGGGAGCCAGCCCUCUGGAGUCGGGAGAAGAAGGUGCCACAGCUCUUCAGGACCACGGUUGGGAGAAAGAAUGGAGGGGUUUUAGAACCUUCAGUGUGCGACUUCAUGUGCCAGUCUUCAUCUCAGGAUCUCAAGCUCUUGGAUCAUGGGCACGGAUAACCUGUUGUCCUCCUCUAUGGUCAAGAGGCUGCUUUUGCAAAGAAUCCAGUGGGAGAGAGUCAAUGGCCUGCUUGACGUGAACUCCAAAGUCCUCCUGGUAAGGAUCAUUUCUACAAUGAUGCAGAAAAGAGCCAUGCAGUCUCUGAGACAUUUCAGGCUGGGACCAAAUCUAGUCCUUCCUGCCUGCCUAGGAUUGCUCCUUUCAAGAAGGAAGCAUGGGAGAUUUCUGAGUGAUAAGAUGGGAGGAAGGAGCAAGGAGGUGCAGAAAGCAAAACAAGCCAUU
rnacentral:lncRNA from 1 species